rnacentral:lncRNA from 1 species
UUCACCUAUGAUCAAAACCGUUAAAAUCAUUAGUUUUGACGUUGUUAUAUAAUAAUAUAAUCCCAAGGCUUAAUGCCACAUUAGAAAUAACAAAAAUAUAAAAAGUGAUUCUGAAUCCACCGUAAAUUACGGUGAUACCGUAAUUUACGGUGAGACCUGAAAGUGUCUGGUCACCGUAAACCAGGAGAUCUGCUCCGUAAACCAUAUCACAACCACCGUAAUUUACGGUUCUACCGUAAUUUACGGUAGUACCUGGAAUGUCAGGUUUUGUUUUGUUUGAUCAUUACUCCAAGACCCAACUCUCGGUUUUCAGUUUUCUAUGAUACUAAUUCGUUAAAACCUCAUAUUUCUAAUAUGUUAUAAAAUAUUCAAAAUCAACCAUCAAACCAUCAUAAUCCGAAACAAUAACCAUGCCUUACUUGAUUAUUCGACCCGUUUGGCUCGUCUACGGAAUUCCUUCCUUUUUGACGACUACCAACGAGUUCUAACCAUCUUUUGACCAAAUAUUCAAUGUAGCGAUAUCAUCGCUAUAUUUCAUAGUAACUUAUAUUCUAAAAUUCAACUACGCAUAUCGCCAUGAUCUAAUUAAUGCGUACCUGGCUCGAGUCAACAUAUAGACCCGUUUUGUACCUUUCUUUUAUUAGCCGCUACUUUAUAGCAACGCAAUAAUCCACUUCCCGUUCACUCCUGCGAACAUUUAACUUAACAACCAAACAUUAGUCGAUAUUGUCAAAUAGUGUCAUCACCACCAUUUGACCCAUUUGGUAUUUAUGACCAAACAUUUAUACUUAUGUCAAAUCAUGGCUUUUAAUAUCCCAUUCACACAUCCGACCCAUUUCAAUUUCGCUAUAAGGUAACCUUAAAGAAAUCUUAUAAAUUCUUAGUCGAUUCACGACUAAAUUACCCUUUUGUCCAUUUUACCGUUAACCAUGGUUUUGAUCAUUUUUAUUCGUUCCGACUCAUAUUGCUUAGUGUCGGAACUUCAAUUUCGAAUGUAAUCGGUUGUCACAUUUAUCAUCUAUAAAAUACAUACGUUUACUACAAAUGG